rnacentral:rRNA from 1 species
AUUGAACGCUGGCGGCAUGCCUUACACAUGCAAGUCGAACGGCAGCGCGGACUUCGGUCUGGCGGCGAGUGGCGAACGGGUGAGUAAUGCAUCGGAACGUGCCUUUCAGUGGGGGAUAACGUAGCGAAAGUUACGCUAAUACCGCAUAUUCUGUGAGCAGGAAAGCAGGGGAUCGCAAGACCUUGCGCUGAUGGAGCGGCCGAUGUCAGAUUAGCUAGUUGGUGGGGUAAAGGCCCACCAAGGCGACGAUCUGUAGCUGGUCUGAGAGGACGACCAGCCACACUGGAACUGAGACACGGUCCAGACUCCUACGGGAGGCG